GAUGAAGAACGUAGCGAAAUGCGAUAAGUAAUGCGAAUUGCAGAAUUUCCGUGAGUCAUCGAAUCUUUGAACGCACAUUGCGCCCAUUGGUAUUCCGAUGGGCAUGCCUGUUCGAGCGUCAUUAUCCUCCCUCAAACCUCGGGUUUGGUGUUGGACCCAAGUUGUGCGAUGAACAACUGGUCUUAAAGACAAUGACGGCGUCCGUGGGACCCUCGAUGCAACGAGCUUUAAGGAGCACGCUUCGAGUUUUAAAAGGACCCUCCGGGCCGAUCUACCUCUCUUUCUCAGGUUGACCUCGGAUCAGGUAGGAAUACCCGCUGAACUUAAGCAUAUCAAUAAGCGGAGGA
rnacentral:misc_RNA from 1 species